UACGGGGGGGGCAAGCGUUGUUCGGAAUUACUGGGCGUAAAGGGCUCGUAGGCGGCCAACUAAGUCAGACGUGAAAUCCCUCGGCUUAACCGGGGAACUGCGUCUGAUACUGGAUGGCUUGAGAUUGGGAGAGGGAUGCGGAAUUCCAGGUGUAGCGGUGAAAUGCGUAGAUAUCUGGAGGAACACCGGUGGCGAAGGCGGCCUUCUGGACAGUGACUGACGCUGAGACGCGAAAGCGUGGGGAGCAAACAGG
rnacentral:rRNA from 1 species